CCUACGGGAGGCAGCAGUGAGGAAUAUUGGUCAAUGGGCGAGAGCCUGAACCAGCCAAGUCGCGUGAGGGAAGACGGUCCUACGGAUUGUAAACCUCUUUUGUCAGGGAGCAAGGAGCGCCACGAGUGGUGCGGCGAGAGUACCUGAAGAAAAAGCAUCGGCUAACUCCGUGCCAGCAGCCGCGGUAAUACGGAGGAUGCGAGCGUUAUCCGGAUUUAUUGGGUUUAAAGGGUGCGUAGGCGGUCCGUUAAGUCAGCGGUAAAAUUGCGGGGCUCAACCCCGUCGAGCCGUUGAAACUGGCAGACUUGAGUUGGCGAGAAGUACGCGGAAUGCGCGGUGUAGCGGUGAAAUGCAUAGAUAUCGCGCAGAACUCCGAUUGCGAAGGCAGCGUACCGGCGCCAGACUGACGCUGAGGCACGAAAGCGUGGGGAUCGAACAGGAUUAGAUACCCUUGUAGUC
rnacentral:rRNA from 1 species